CCUUCAACAGUAUAACAACCUAGUCAGUACACAUAAGGUUUUUACUACCCAGAAAGUCCCUCUGUGUUCCUGUCCAGUCUACCCUUCACCUCCUGUCAGUGGACAACCAUUGGUUCAGUGUCUGAUGUCAUAGACUGCUUUUGUCUGUGCUUGAAUUCCGUGUAAGUGAAAUACUGUGACAUAUACUUAAGAAGGCUUGCUAAGGAGAAAAAAACAUGCCUCCAAGUAGAAGGGGCAAACAAGUUCUCGCUCCAGCUUUAAAGAAGUAAUUUGUUCAUCUGCAUACAACAGGGUUGAUCAUCCUCAGCUCCUUCAGAAAAUGUUUCAUUUAGCUUGUAUCAUGACUGUUAUUAGAGGUAAACAUUUAAAUGU
rnacentral:lncRNA from 1 species